rnacentral:tRNA from 1 species
GCUCCGGUAGCUCAAUGGCAGAGCAAUGAGCAGCAAUGUUCAGAGAUCCAGGUUCAAUUCCUGGCUGGGGCU